rnacentral:rRNA from 1 species
CAGCCGCGGUAAUACGAAGGGGGCUAGCGUUGUUCGGAUUUACUGGGCGUAAAGCGCACGUAGGCGGACUUUUAAGUCAGGGGUGAAAUCCCGGGGCUCAACCCCGGAACUGCCUUUGAUACUGGAAGUCUUGAGUAUGGUAGAGGUGAGUGGAAUUCCGAGUGUAGAGGUGAAAUUCGUAGAUAUUCGGAGGAACACCAGUGGCGAAGGCGGCUCACUGGACCAUUACUGACGCUGAGGUGCGAAAGCGUGGGGAGCAAACAGGAUUAGAUACCCCAGUAGUCCCUGUCUCUUAUACACC